rnacentral:rRNA from 1 species
GAGGCAGCAGUGGGGAAUAUUGGACAAUGGGCGCAAGCCUGAUCCAGCAAUGCCGCGUGGGUGAAGACGGCCUGCGGGUUGUAAAGCCCUUUGGGUGGGGAGGAACGGUGGUUUGCGAACAGCGUUUUGAUGUGACAUUACCCACGGAACAAGCACCGGCUAACUCCGUGCCAGCAGCCGCGGUAAUACGGAGGGUGCGAGCGUUAAUCGGAAUUACUGGGCGUAAAGCGUGCGUAGGCGGAAGGGUCAGUCAGCCGUGAAAGCCCUGGGCUCAACCUGGGAACGGCGGUUGAGACGGCCCGUCUGGAGUGGGCUAGAGGAUCGUGGAAUUCCGGGUGUAGCGGUGAAAUGCGUAGAGAUCCGGAGGAACACCGAUGGCGAAGGCAGCG